rnacentral:hammerhead_ribozyme from 1 species
GCACUGCUGAGGAGUCCCAUACUAGGACGAAACGGCCGUCCCGUGA